rnacentral:rRNA from 1 species
UACAGAGGUGCCAAGCGUUAGGCGGAAUCACUGGGCUUAAAGCGCGCGUAGGCGGACCGUUAAGUGUCUUGUGAAAUCCCACAGCUCAACUGUGGAACUGCUUGGCAGACUGGCGGUCUUGAGGUGCUCAGGGGCGAGUGGAACAAGUGGUGGAGCGGUGAAAUGCGUAGAUAUCAGGAAGAACACCCGUGGCUAAGGCGGCUCUCUAGUACGGUACUGACGCUGAGACGCGAAAGCGUGGGGAGCGAACAGG